AGCAGCCGCGGUAAUUCCAGCUCCAAUAGCGUAUAUUAAAGUUGUUGCAGUUAAAAAGCUCGUAGUUGAAUUUCGGGAUCAAGGGAUCGGUCAUGCCUUGGUAUGUACUGGUUUUAUUGGUUCUCAUCUUCUAAAGAACCAUAAUGUCAUUCAUUUGAUGUUAUGGGGAAUUAGGACUGUUACCUUGAAAAAAUUAGAGUGUUUAAAGCAGGCUUACGCUUGAAUACAUUAGCAUGGAAUAAUGAAAUAGGACAUCAGAUUCUAUUUUGUGGUUUCUAGGAUUGACGUAAUGAUUAAUAGGGAUAGUUGGGGGCAUUAGUAUUCAAUUGUCAGAGGUGAAAUUCUUGGAUUUAUUGAAGACUAACUACUGCGAAAGCAUUUGCCAA
rnacentral:rRNA from 1 species